rnacentral:rRNA from 1 species
UACGUAGGCAGCGAGCGUUGUUCGGAGUUACUGGGCGUAAAGAGUGCGUAGGCGGUUUUCUAAGUUUGGUGUGAAAUCUCCCGGCUCAACUGGGAGGGUGCGCCGAAGACUGGAAGGCUUGAGUAUGGGAGAGGUAAGCGGAAUUCCUGGUGUAGCGGUGAAAUGCGUAGAUAUCAGGAGGAACACCGGUGGCGAAGGCGGAUCUCUGGGCCUUGCCUGACGCUGAGGCGCGAAAGCUAGGGGAGCGAACAGG